CGGAUAAUAGCUCAGCUUGGUAGAGCGCUGUCAUGGGGUGGCAGAGGCCAAGGGUUCAAAUCCCUUUUAUCCGACCA
rnacentral:tRNA from 1 species